UCCGUGUCACAGACAGCAUUACUAGAGCUGC
rnacentral:piRNA from 1 species